UUUUUUCUAUUAAUUAACUCAUCAUUUAUGUGUACUAGAGAUUUCCUUGCAUGAGUACAAGGUCCCCCUUAGCCUAAUCUAAGCUUAAUACCCUAUUACGGCAUGAAAUCCCUUAUUUUCCCCUCCCGGAUGAACAGUAACUUGUACCGACAGUCGGUCACUUCAUUUCGGGUUUGAUCCACUUUUCAAACUUCAAAUUUUAUGAAAUUUUUACCUAACAUUCUACACUCAUGGGGGAUUCCAAAGAGAUAACAUGUAUUACUAUCGGAGGCCGUUUGACUCCCAAAAUAAUUCGCUGAAGUUGGAACUUCGACACAGUUUUUUCGUAGUGCCGGAAAAACUUGUUGAAAUCCAAUUCUUCCUCUUUUAACCACCUCUACAACCCUUAUCCGACCCCUCUAGACUACAUCCACCCUUUGUAUAGCCUAAUUUUAUUAAAAGAUUAGGUAGAUAUGGAUAUUUACCUU
rnacentral:lncRNA from 1 species